rnacentral:snRNA from 1 species
GGAUGUGAGGGAGAUCUGGCUGUGGCUUCUGUCACUCCUUUGAUCGUGAGGGUUGACUGAGCUCAUCUGGCUGGCUAGGAGCAUGUCCCCUUCAUCCCUCAGUGUUCAGGCACAUCUCUCCCGAAGCUGCACGCUCAGUAAAAGAGGAUGACCUUCCGCAAUAGAGGGUGACCUUUCUUUGGUCAAGAGUACCUGCAACCUCUGUUAGAACCUCCAAUUCAACUCUCAAAAAAUACCAGACAUUUUCAUGAUUGGCAGUGUGGCCCAGGGUAAAGUCAGCUCUUCAGGAUAUCUCUGCUCUUUUUU